UACACUCCUGCGGGAGGCAGCAGUGGGGAAUUUUGGACAAUGGGCGAAAGCCUGAUCCAGCAAUGCCGCGUGAGUGAAGAAGGCCUUCGGGUUGUAAAGCUCUUUUGUCAGGGAAGAAACGGUGAAAGCUAAUAUCUUUUGCUAAUGACGGUACCUGAAGAAUAAGCACCGGCUAACUACGUGCCAGCAGCCGCGGUAAUACGUAGGGUGCAAGCGUUAAUCGGAAUUACUGGGCGUAAAGCGUGCGCAGGCGGUUUUGUAAGUCUGAUGUGAAAUCCCCGGGCUCAACCUGGGAAUUGCAUUGGAGACUGCAAGGCUAGAAUCUGGCAGAGGGGGGUAGAAUUCCACGUGUAGCAGUGAAAUGCGUAGAUAUGUGGAGGAACACCGAUGGCGAAGGCAGCCCCCUGGGUCAAGAUUGACGCUCAUGCACGAAAGCGUGGGGAGCAAACAGGAUUAGAAACCCGUGUAGUCCCAU
rnacentral:rRNA from 1 species